rnacentral:snRNA from 1 species
UAUAAUGUACUUACACAGAGGGU